rnacentral:rRNA from 1 species
CUUUACUGUAGCCUGGUAUUGGGUUCGGGCUUUGACUGCGCAGGAUAGGUGGGAGACUGAGAAGUGUGCCUUGUGGGGCACAUAGAGUCAACGGUGAGAUACCACUCUGUCAGAGCUAGAAUUCUAACCUUCACCCGUUAUCCGGGAGGGAAACAGUUUCAGGUGGGCAGUUUGACUGGGGCGGUCGCCUCCUAAAAGGUAACGGAGGCGCGCAAAGGUGUUCUCAGGCUGGUUGGAAAUCAGCCGUAGAGUGUAAAGGCAGAAGAACGCUUGACUGUGAGAGUGACAACUCAAGCAGGGUGGAAACACGGCCUUAGUGAUCCGACGGUAUGCGCGUGGAAGUGCCGUCGCUCAACGGAUAAAAGUUA